rnacentral:rRNA from 1 species
AGAGUUUGAUCCUGGCUCAGGACGAACGCUGGCGGCGUGCUUAACACAUGCAAGUCUACGAGAAAGAGGUAGCGAUAUCUCAAGUAAAGUGGCGCAAGGGUGAGUAAUAUGUAAGUAAUCUACCUAUGGGUUCGGAAUAACGUCGAGAAAUCGGCGCUAAUACCGAAUAAUGCAGCGGCAUCGCAUGAUGAUGUUGUUAAAGUUGUCCCGACUUGUCGGGAUAACUCCUAUAGAUGAGCUUGCAUCUGAUUAGCUAGUUGGUAGGGUAAUUGCCUACCAAGGCUACGAUCAGUAGCUGGUCUGAGAGGAUGAUCAGCCACACUGGAACUGAGACACGGUCCAGACUCCUACGGGAGGCAGCAGUGAGGAAUAUUGGGCAAUGGACGGAAGUCUGACCCAGCAACGCCGCGUGGAGGAUGAAUGCCGUAAGGUUGUAAACUCCUUUUGAAGGGGACGAAUAUUCAAGUUCC